AUUUUUAUGGAGAGUUUGAUCCUGGCUCAGGAUGAACGCUGGCGGCGUGCCUAAUACAUGCAAGUCGAGCGAACGGACGAGAAGCUUGCUUCUCUGAU
rnacentral:rRNA from 1 species